UACGGGGGGAGCAAGCGUUGUUCGGAAUUACUGGGCGUAAAGCGCGUGUAGGCUGCUUCGCAAGUCGGAUGUGAAAGCCCUGGGCUCAACCCAGGAAGUGCAUUCGAAACUGCAGAGCUGGAGUCCUGGAGAGGAAGGCGGAAUUCUCGGUGUAGAGGUGAAAUUCGUAGAUAUCGAGAGGAACACCGGUGGCGAAGGCGGCCUUCUGGACAGUGACUGACGCUGAGACGCGAAAGCGUGGGGAGCAAACAGG
rnacentral:rRNA from 1 species